AUGACUCUGAUCUGCGUCCUCAUCUGGACUCUCCUCUGCUGCUGCUUCACAGAGUCCAGAGGACAGGUCACAGUGACUCAGCCUGCAGCAGUGAUAUCUGCUCCGGGAGGCUCCGUCACCAUCUCAUGCAGGACCAGUCCGAAUGUUUACAAUAAUAACCAAAUGCACUGGUACCAACAGAAAGAUGGAGAAACUCCUAAAUUGCUCAUUUACUUGACUAGCACUCGAGCAUCAGGGAUUCCAGGUCGUUUUACAGGCAGUGGAUCUGGAUCUGACUUCACUCUGACCAUCAGUGGAGUCCAGACUGAAGAUGCUGCAGUUUACUACUGUCAGAGUGGACAUAGCAUCAACAGUCAGCAUUGGUUCACACAGUCAUACAACGUUGUACAAAAACCUCCCUCAGAUAAAGAGGAAGUGAUCUGA